rnacentral:misc_RNA from 1 species
UGGCUCUCGCAUCGAUGAAGAACGCAGCGAAAUGCGAUAAGUAAUGUGAAUUGCAGAAUUCAGUGAAUCAUCGAAUCUUUGAACGCACCUUGCGCUCCUUGGUAUUCCGAGGAGCAUGCCUGUUUGAGUGUCAUGGUAUUCUCAAUUCUCCAGGUCUUUGUAAGACUCUGGUGAUAUUGGACUUGGAGGCUAUUGCUGGAACCUUGCAGGUACCUGCUCCUCUCAAAUGUAUCAGUAUGAAUGUUCACUUCAUGCUCAGUGUGAUAAUUAUCUGCACUGUGUCUGAGUGUCAUAGAUUCAUGCUUCAAACUGUCGUCAAGACAAUUCAUUUGACUUCUGACCUCAAAUCAGGUAGGACUACCCGCUGA